GUUGAUCCUGCCAGUAGUCAUAUGCUUGUCUCAAAGAUUAAGCCAUGCAUGUCUAAGUAUAAACAUCUUUAUACAGUGAAACUGCGCACAGCUCAUUAUAUCAGUUAUUAUUUAUUUGAUGGUACCUUACUACAUGGAUACCCGUAGUAAUUCUAGAGCUAAUACAUGCGUAAAGUCCCGACUUUUUGGAAGGGAUGUAUUUAUUAGAUUAAAAACCAAUGCAGGCAACUGCUCCUUUGGUGAUUCAUAGUAACUUUAACGGAUCGCACGACAUCACGUUGGCGACAGUUCAUUCAAAUUUCUGCCCUAUCAGCUUUCGACGGUACUGUAGUGGACUACCGUGGCAUUAACGGGUGACGGAGAAUUAGGGUUCGAUUCCGGAGAGGGAGCCUGAGAAACGGCUACCACAUCCAAGGAAGGCAGCAGGCGCGCAAAUUACCCUAUCCUGACACAGGGAGGUAGUGACAAAAAAUAACAAUACCGCGCCUUUUUAGGUCUGGUAAUUGGAAUGAGUACAAUUUAAAUCCCUUAACGAGUAUCCAUUGGAGGGCAAGUCUGGU
rnacentral:rRNA from 1 species